UAGGCGAGUUCCGAAAAGCCGGAAAGAGAGUAGGAA
rnacentral:ncRNA from 1 species